rnacentral:rRNA from 1 species
CCUACGGGCGGCAGCAGUGAGGAAUAUUGGUCAAUGGACGAGAGUCUGAACCAGCCAAGUAGCGUGAAGGAUGACUGCCCUAUGGGUUGUAAACUUCUUUUAUAUGGGAAUAAAAUGUUCCACGUGUGGGAUUUUGUAUGUACCAUAUGAAUAAGGAUCGGCUAACUCCGUGCCAGCAGCCGCGGUAAUACGGAGGAUCCGAGCGUUAUCCGGAUUUAUUGGGUUUAAAGGGAGCGUAGGUGGGUUGUUAAGUCAGUUGUGAAAGUUUGCGGCUCAACCGUAAAAUUGCAGUUGAAACUGGCAGUCUGGAGUACAGUAGAGGUGGGCGGAAUUCGUGGUGUAGCGGUGAAAUGCUUAGAUAUCACGAAGAACUCCGAUUGCGAAGGCAGCUCACUGGACUGCAACUGACACUGAGGCUCGAAAGUGUGGGUAUCAAACAGGAUUAGAUACCCGAGUAGUC